rnacentral:rRNA from 1 species
CGAACCAAUCGAUUCGGUUUAGUACACAGGAACCACCGCCGCUGCCGGGAGAUCGAGUUACGAUGCCUUUGCCGCAGGCGGGCGCUGACUUGCCUCGUGCUGGAGUUCGCCGGCGUUCAAUGAACACCGCCACGGGCACCGUGCCGCGGGGUGUGAAGGGCUGCGUCGAUACGGGCCGAGGCCGUAGCCGUCGCUCGCUCCGUGUCACCGCGCCACGGCUGUGGCCGAGGGCCACGCCAGGACUGUAGCCGCCUCUGGCUGGUGCGGGAGGCCGCUACCGUGCAGGGAGGUCGAGGCCGCGUGACCACGCGCCAGCAGGUGGCCUGCGCCGUCGUGCUCGCGCCGCAUGGUCACGAGCGCUGCGGCCCAGCCGCUGAUGCAGGAUCGGGGGCUGCGGCAGGCUCGGAUGUGCGCGUGGCUGUUGCCGCGGCGGGUUCGCGCGGGGUCGAGGCGCAACCAGGCCGCCGCUUUCGGGAACCAAGCCAACGGCCGGGACCUCGUUAGGAAGAGCAUCCGAGGCGCUUGGACGCCGGCGCCGUUGGCGAUGUUGACAAAGGGUAGCAGCAGUUGCCGCUUGAUCCAGGGCAAAGCAAAUUGAAGAAUUCAUGGCAUGGAUGGAAAGAACCUGGGAAGUGGGCAAGAAGCUCAACAAGCUAAGCCAGAUGUGUUAGGUGAUCAGGACGGUCUGAAACACACUGCUGAUUCCAGCACCACCAGAGAUGCGAUUCCGGUGAAUGGCCAUGAUGUUGUACUCCCUCCGUCCGGUAAUAACUGACAUGAUUUUAGUUCAAAUUUAAACUAAAAACCACAUCAAUUAUUUCCUUACAGAGGUUGUAGAUACAAACAUGGGAGCUGCCAUUUCAUGUGACAGGCUUCGAUGCCAAAGACGAUAUUGGCAGCCUCAUAACAACGGCGAUGGACUCCACUAACUUCCAGGCCUCGUCGCGGGACUCACACAAUUACUAAGGCAUGAAGGAGCAGUCAUGACCCGGGCUGGGUUACAGAGCGUCCGAAGUUGAUGCUGGACACAAGUCGUCAGACGUGACACAACAGUGAUCCUACUUCCUUGCACAACUUUUGGCUUCAGAGAACCAAAGCACACUGUCCAUAUGUUUCUGCAGUGUGUCUAGAUUUACAGCUUCUAACAAUAACAUUAACAAUAUUCGUUGUUGGC